rnacentral:misc_RNA from 1 species
GAUGAAGAACGUAGCGAAAUGCGAUAAGUAAUGUGAAUUGCAGAAUUCAGUGAACCAUCGAAUCUUUGAACGCACAUCGCGCCCGGCAGUAAUCUGCCGGGCAUGCCUGUCCGAGCGUCAUUUCUACCCUCGAGCGAGUCCAGCAUCUAGGUGCUGGGCCUCGCCCGGCGUUGGAGCACUACGGGAAGCCCUGUGCUGUCCCCCGUAGGCCCCGAAAUGAAGUGGCGGUCCUGCCGCGGCGCCCCCUGCGUAGUAUAACAGCUCGCUUCGGGACCCGGUGGAGGCCUGCCGUCAAACCUAUACUCUCUAAGUUUGACCUCGGAUCAGGUAGGGUUACCCGCUGAACUUAAGCAUAUCAAUAAGCGGAGGA